rnacentral:rRNA from 1 species
UUAUGGUAGGGCACUCUAAGGAGACUGCCGGUGCAAACCGGAGGAAGGUGGGGAUGACGUCAAGUCAUCAUGGCCCUUACGGCCUGGGCUACACACGUGCUACAAUGGUCGGUACAAAGGGUUGCCAAGCCGCGAGGUGGAGCUAAUCCCAUAAAACCGAUCGUAGUCCGGAUCGCAGUCUGCAACUCGACUGCGUGAAGUCGGAAUCGCUAGUAAUCGUGAAUCAGAAUGUCACGGUGAAUACGUUCCCGGGCCUU